rnacentral:lncRNA from 1 species
GUAAAUCAUCAAAUGAUCAAAUCAUUUAAGCAAACAUUACUUUUAAGUAAUGCAUAAAACUUCAAACAUGUAUUUACAAUCAUUUAAACUUAUAAAUUCAUAUUCCCUAGGACUUACUAACAAAAGGGACAUCAUCACUAAAUUUGUCUCCUAGGUACAUGCCAAAAAGAAACACAAAAGAAAACAUUACCAACAUUAAGUACGGGAUACUUGAAGGAUGCCGAGUCCGAUUCUACUAUUUAUCUAACCUGCAAACAUACAAAUCAAAUUACAUUCAAUAGAUUUCAUUUAUUUAGCUAAUCACAAGAACAAUCGACAAUAAUAUAAAAUUUUAACUUAACCAAAUGAAACUUCAAUUAUUUCGAUAAUUCAAGUAACCUUGUUGUAUGAUCUAUUAGCUAUGUGGCACCCGGUGCCUAGCGGAUAAACCGCAGAGGAGUUUGCGCCCAGCGCUAGUCGGGUUAACCGACAAUAUUGAAAGUGAGCCUAGCUCUAGUUGGAUAAACCAACAAUGUUUGUGCCCAGUGCUAGUCGAAGAUACUGACGAUAAUAAAAGUGAGCCCAACUCUAGUUGGAUGAACCAACGGUGUUUGCGCCUAGCGCUAGUCGAAUAAACCGACGGUUGUGUGCCCAGCAAUAGUCAGACAAGGAUUGAGCUCAGCGCUAGUCGAAUAUAUCCACAAAAUUCCACAGUGAGCCUAGCUCUAGUUGAAUAUUUCAACGAUUGUACAAUUAUUUACUUCCACAAAUUCCAAAUUCAUUUUCUUUAACAUUAAAUCGAUAAUAUACAUACAUUUUAUAUGAAGAGCUAAUUUAGAAUUAAUUAAUUAAAUAGUAAUUAGAAAAAUUAAUCUCGAGUCCACGAACUUACCGGAAUUAUGCUUGUGAACAAUUAUUCAGUAGCUUUCUCUUUUUCACGAUUGGCAACAAAAGCUCUCGUAUCUCGAUCUAGAAAUAUUAAUUUAAUUAAAUCAAUUACUCAACAAUUAUAGUUACACAUUUAACCAUUAACAAUUGUUAUUCAAUCAACUUAACCCUUGCCACAAAUAAUAUCGUCAUACAACCGAGUAUAUUUAUAUACUUAUGUGUAAAUAUUUCAAAUUCUCAACAAUGGAAUUUAUCACUCAUUACCAUGCCAUCUAAAAAUUUAACAGCAGCUACAUGCUUAACCAUUAAUCCCAUUCAAAUCAUCAUACGAUCACAUUAAAAUGACAAUUGAAAUUAACAUCUCUACUUCAUUUAAUUAUUUUUUUUCCAGCUCAUAAACAUUCAAAGCAAAACAGCCUUUGCAUGCCAAAUUUCUCCCAAUAACAUUAAACUCAAUCUCAUUAUUCAAUAUAUUACCAAUGUGCAAAUUAUAAGAUUAUCCUUAACAAGUUUCUUUUUUCCCCUAAAACAUCCAUGCAUUUAAGCUCAUCAUUAAAUCCAAAAGAAAAUUUAAACUACAUCUAUGGCAUUAUCCACUACUUCCAAAAAAAUUCUCCAUUCUAGCAUAAAGAUUAGCUAAAUUAAUCUAUUCUCAACUCAAAAAUAUAACAAAAAUGAAAAUCCCUUUGAGAAAUACUUACAUGCAUUCAAA